GAUGAACGCUGGCGGCGUGCCUAAUACAUGCAAGUCGAGCGAACAGACGAGGAGCUUGCUCCUCUGACGUUAGCGGCGGACGGGUGAGUAACACGUGGAUAACCUACCUAUAAGACUGGGAUAACUUCGGGAAACCGGAGCUAAUACCGGAUAAUAUAUUGAACCGCAUGGUUCAAUAGUGAAAGACGGUUUUGCUGUCACUUAUAGAUGGAUCCGCGCCGCAUUAGCUAGUUGGUAAGGUAACGGCUUACCAAGGCGACGAUGCGUAGCCGACCUGAGAGGGUGAUCGGCCACACUGGAACUGAGACACGGUCCAGACUCCUACGGGAGGCAGCAGUAUGGAAUCUUCCGCAAUGGGCGAAAGCCUGACGGAGCAACGCCGCGUGAGUGAUGAAGGUCUUCGGAUCGUAAAACUCUGUUAUUAGGGAAGAACGAAUGUGUAAGUAACUAUGCACGUCUUGACGGUACCUAAUCAGAAAGCCACGGCUAACUACGUG
rnacentral:rRNA from 1 species